UACGUAGGGCGCAAGCGUUGUCCGGAAUUAUUGGGCGUAAAGAGCUCGUAGGCGGCUUGUCACGUCGGGUGUGAAAGCCCGGGGCUUAACCCCGGGUCUGCAUUCGAUACGGGCUAGCUAGAGUGUGGUAGGGGAGAUCGGAAUUCCUGGUGUAGCGGUGAAAUGCGCAGAUAUCAGGAAGAACACCCGUGGCUAAGGCGGUUCUCUAGUACGGUACUGACGCUGAGACGCGAAAGCGUGGGGAGCGAACAGG
rnacentral:rRNA from 1 species